rnacentral:rRNA from 1 species
GAUGAACGCUGGCGGCGUGCCUGAUACAUGCAAGUCGAGCGAACGGGCGAGAAGCUUGCUUCUCUGAUGUUAGCGGCGGACGGGUGAGUAACACGUGGAUAACCUACCUAUAAGACUGGGAUAACUUCGGGAAACCGGAGCUAAUACCGGAUAAUAUUUUGAACCGCAUGGUUCAAAAGUGAAAGACGGUCUUGCUGUCACUUAUAGAUGGAUCCGCGCUGCAUUAGCUAGUUGGUAAGGUAACGGCUUACCAAGGCAACGAUGCAUAGCCGACCUGAGAGGGUGAUCGGCCACACUGGAACUGAGACACGGUCCAGACUCCUACGGGAGGCAGCAGUAGGGAAUCUUCCGCAAUGGGCGAAAGCCUGACGGAGCAACGCCGCGUGAGUGAUGAAGGUCUUCGGAUCGUAAAACUCUGUUAUUAGGGAAGAACAUAUGUGUAAGUAACUGUGCACAUCUUGACGGUACCUAAUCAGAAAGCCACGGCUAACUACGUG